GAUGAAGAACGUAGCGAAAUGCGAUAAGUAGUGUGAAUUGCAGAAUUCAGUGAAUCAUCGAAUCUUUGAACGCACAUUGCGCCCUUUGGUAUUCCUUAGGGCAUGCCUGUUCGAGCGUCAUUUAAACCUUCAAGCUCAGCUUGGUGUUGGGUGACUGUCCGCUUCACCGCGGACUCGCCUCAAAAUUAUUGGCGGCCGGUACAUUGGCUUCGAGCACAGCAGAAACGCGAACUCGGGCCCGUCGUAUUGGCUCCCAGAAGCUAUCUUCACAAUUUUGACCUCGGAUCAGGUAGGGAUACCCGCUGAACUUAAGCAUAUCAAUAAGCGGAGGA
rnacentral:misc_RNA from 1 species